rnacentral:rRNA from 1 species
UACGGAGGGGGCAAGCGUUAUUCGGACUUACUGGGCGUAAAGCGCGUGUAGGCGGGAAAGCAAGUCUGAUGUGAAAGCCCCGGGCUUAACCUGGGAAGUGCAUUGGAAACUGUUUUUCUUGAGUACUGGAGAGGAAGGGAGAAUUCCCGGUGUAGAGGUGAAAUUCGUAGAGAUCGGGAGGAACACCAGUGGCGAAGGCGCCCUUCUGGACGGUUACUGGCGCUGAGACGCGAAAGCGUGGGGAGCAAACAGG